rnacentral:sRNA from 1 species
AUAUUUAUGAGACUAUGGACAGCAUUUGAAUGUUAAAGAAAUAAACUAUAAAAAAAUCUUUUCAUGUUGUGGGAGUGUCAGCUAAUAAAAUAAAUACUGAUUACAAGUUUUGCACAUAGCGGAUUAUGAUUCAAUAUUUUAUAAAUUUGGAUUUCUAAAAGUUUUUGUGUAGCCUUAUUGAGGCAACUAGAGCUAGUUUACAUUUGCAUAUUCAUGAAAAUAAUUGAUGUUCAUUUUUUAAUCAUAUGAUUUAUUUUUCAAUUAGGCAAUGGAAAUUUUGGUUUGGCAAAAUAGCUUACCAUUGUUCUAUUAUUUUUUUUAUUUUUUUUUAUUGUAGAAUAAAUUUUUUAUUUUAAUUUUCAUCAUUAGUUAAAAGUUUCUUCUGAAACCAUAUAGUUACGAACAGUUACUACUUAUUGUUAGUUUUAUUAUGAAAGGAAAGCAGAAACAAUAGAAUGCUAGGUUUGUGUUUGUUUUUUUGUUGUUAAGUCUUCUUCAUUUAAUUAUGUUGCCUUUCUGUUCAUGGUACAUUAAAUGAGAAUUGAAGAAAAGAAAUUGUGCAAUUUUACUUUCUAUGAAAUUUUUAGGGUUGAAUGUUUUUUUUAAUUAAGGUGGAAUGAAAAUAAAUACCUGGUCUUUGUCGAGUCUACCAUUUGAAAUAGCUGCUUCCACUAAAACUUUUUUUAUUUUAUUUUUAGAAUCUGCAUUAUUUUAGUCCUCAAGCAACAGAUUUGAAAUUUUAUUGUUCAACUGCCAAGAUAAAUGUGUAUUACUUUAAGUAUGGUUUAAGUGUUCUUUGGAUGAGUUAUGGUGAGUUGCAUUCCUUGGAGUAAACACACACACACAAAAAAGAUCUUUUCAGAAAUAAUGGUUUUGUCUGUGCAAAAUUUGAAGGAAUUGGUCUUCAAUAGGUUGAUUUCUGGUUCUAUGACAAAGUCUGUACAACUGAGGUCUUACUAGUUAUUGUAUUUUUUGUUGUAACCUCUAGUCUGGUGAUUUCAUUUCUAAAAUGAUCCCUUCUCCCAGAUGUCUUGCACUCUACACACAAGUAGAUUUGAUUUCUCUCCCCUCAUGAUGCUUUUUUUUUGUACAAAGAUUUGGCCCAAACUAUGCUUUCAAUUUAAAUACAUUAUCUUCAGGAGAAAAAUGGUACACUUUCUUGUCCCUUGAUAAUACCUUUUACAGCCUAGUUAUUUUAAUAUUGAAAUGUAUACAGUUAAACUGUUAACACAGCAGUCAUAAAACAGGACUAACAUUAUGCAGAUAAACUUGCAUAGAAUAUUGUUAGGCAUAAAACAAGCACACACACACAAAAUAAGCAUACAGUCAAGGACCUGGAGGAGGGGAGGGGGAAAUAGAAAACUGGUUUCAUUUAGUCCUGCGACAUUUUAAACAUCUCCCCUUUUCUCGAAGAAUUUUCGUUUCUGCGCAAAUAGGCACACGGAGUCCUGAAGUGAAGACUAGUCAGUUGUAUUUUAUAUCAUUAAGUAGAGCUAGAUCUGAUUUUACGAGUGUGUUUCUGGGGAUUUCUUAACGUUUUUUUUUUAAUAUUGAACACCUGAUUCUAAGGCUGACUACACACACACACACAUAGAUGUGCUGAGUUUGAGAUGAAUGGAACGUGUGUGUUUUCUCCCUUGUUCCCUCAAGUAGUAAAAAAAACAACUAGUGACUCCUCCAUUUUGUUUCUCUCCUCUCCUUGUCACACUCCUAAGCCUGCUGUAGAGUCUCACAGUGUAUCGAAUUCCCCCCUCUGCCCGCUAGGCCUUGGUUGGUGGCAAGUUGAAAAGGAAAUAGGGCAAGAAAGGGGGAUGUUGGAAAUUUGGCAGACCAGCCCAGCGAUAGUAAGGAACUGAAGGGAAUUUUGUUUUUUCUCUUUCGGUUAGUAAACGGGGAAAGGGAUAUUUCUUAUAGAUAAACUCACAGUCGGUUAAUCGAACCACAUCGGGACUCGAUACUUUUGAUCCUAAUAAAUGGAUUUGACAGUAUAAAUAGGAUUUUUUUCGGUACUUUAUAAUAUACAUAGUAAUUUUAGUAAGAACUUUUCCCUUUAAAAAAAAACCAACAACAAUUAAGCAAAUUAUUUUUCUUAAUGAAAAAAAAAGGAGGUUGAGGUCUGCAGUGCUAAAAACAAAACGCAAAUCUUUGACUAGCCAGACACUAACUUUAAGUAUCUCUUAAAUAUAUACGUAUAGGUCUUUUCAUAUUAAUGUUCUAACGCGAGGACUCUUUACAAGGCAAAUCAAUGUAUAGAUUAGUGAUUAGACCUUAGAUCGUAGGUCAUUAGAUCUUUAAUAGUAGGUCAUUAGACUUGCUCAUCCAGGAAAUCCAAAGUAUCUUUUGAAAAAAAAAAUGUCCAGCGACUCUUCGUUGCAUUUGUGUGUGUGUGUACUCACUAAGUUGUCGUCUGGGGAGAGUGUACAAUGUAACAAAUAACUUGUUUGACACCAUGCUGACGUGAAAAUAAAACCUUCAAGAACUAAAUCCUCUUAAACUGCCCCCCUCCAAUAUUUUGUUUAGCCGUGAAGUUUUGCGAACGUCACUUUGUCAACGUAAAGUCAAUGAGUACAUUAGAGUGUAGACUUCUUUGUUUGGACUUGACUGACCCUGUUGCACGCUGGCUUGAAACAUUGAACAAUGUCAUGGCAAUCAAGUCUGUUUUCGUCGUAAAUGCAUCCGCUUUUUAACAGCGUCAGCUUUUUAACAGCAUCAGCCCUUUAACAGUAUCAUCCCUUUAACAGCUUCAGCCCUUUAACAGUACCAUCCCUUUAACAGCAUCAUCUUUUUAACAACAUCAGCUUUUUAACAGCAUCAACUUUUUAACAGCUUCAGCCCUUUAACAGCUUCAGCCCUUUAACAGCUUCAGCCCUUUAACAGCUUCAGCCCUUUAACAGUAUCAUCCCUUUAACAGCAUCUGCCCUUUAACAGCAUCAGCUUUUUAACAGCUUCAGCCCUCUAACAGUAUCAUCCCUUUAACAGCAUCUGCCCUUUAACAGCAUCAGCUUUUUAACAGCUUCAGCCCUCUAACAGUAUCAUCCCUUUAACAGCAUCUGCCCUUUAACAGCAUCAGCUUUUUAACAGCUUCAGCCCUCUAACAGUAUCAUCCCUUUAACAGCAUCUGCCCUUUAACAGAAUCAGCUUAUUAACAGCUUUUCGUAACAAAAUGUAGAAAGAUAAGUCGAACUUGAUGGCAGUGACCAAACUAUCCCCCGACUUCAGUGAUACGUCUUUGUACAAACAUUAAUGGCGUAUUCUGAUUUUGUUAUUCUCGGGAGAUGGUUAUAAUUGUUCUCAAACGUUUGAAUUCAUUAGAAAUUAAAA